rnacentral:rRNA from 1 species
AUUGAACGCUGGCGGCAGGCUUAACACAUGCAAGUCGAGCGGAGAUGAGGUGCUUGCACCUUAUCUUAGCGGCGGACGGGUGAGUAAUGCUUAGGAAUCUGCCUAUUAGUGGGGGACAACAUUCCGAAAGGAAUGCUAAUACCGCAUACGCCCUACGGGGGAAAGCAGGGGAUCUUCGGACCUUGCGCUAAUAGAUGAGCCUAAGUCGGAUUAGCUAGUUGGUGGGGUAAAGGCCUACCAAGGCGACGAUCUGUAGCGGGUCCGAGAGGAUGAGCCGCCACACUGGGACUGAGACACGGCCCAGACUCCUACGGGAGGCAGCAGUGGGGAAUAUUGGACAAUGGGCGGAAGCCUGAUCCAGCCAUGCCGCGUGUGUGAAGAAGGCCUUUUGGUUGUAAAGCACUUUAAGCGAGGAGGAGGCUACCUGGAUUAAUACUCUAGGAUAGUGGACGUUACUCGCAGAAUACGCACCGGCUAACUCUGUGCCAGCCGCCGCGGUAACAC